UUUGAUGGAAGUACUUUCCCCUAAAGACACCAGAUCCUACAUGAUCCUGGAAGUUAAGCAGGAUCAGGCCUGGUUGGUACUUGGAUGGGAGACAACAAAGGAAUAUCAGGUAAUUUAGGCC
rnacentral:rRNA from 1 species